CCAAUAUUUACUUCUUUAGGGUAUGAUUGACUACUUGGAUUUUUGUAAAAAUUGACUCUUUCACUUUUUUGAGUACUGACAAAACUAAAAUAAUAUAGAAAGUUUUUAUUUUUUCUUAAAAAAUUUGAUUACAUUUUUUCUGGAUGAACUUUCGUUUUUUUUCAUUUUUCACUGUUCCAAAAGUUUCCAAAAAUUCAAACAUACCCUAGAGAUGUGAAUAUAUUUAUUGCUACCUGGCACAAGUAGGAAACCCUUUGCAUGUGUUCUCAUAUAGAUAUGAAACUAGUGAUGUUGACGUGUAAAUAUAGUAAUGAAUGGUUAUGGAUAGAAAAUGACUAUAUUAUGCAUCUUGAUGAUGUAAUAAUGAUGGGUUAUUUCUCAACUAGUAUUAACGAGAAAGGUUGAUAGGUGGCUAACUAAAUGGUGGGUGUGCGCUUUAGAUUAGCCAUAUUACUGUUGAAUGCUUUGUGACGGGUUGGAAUGCGAUACUACGCCUUGUCACAAGCUGGAAUAUCACUCUAUGGAUUACCUUAUCAUGGGAGAGAACACAAUACUGUGGAUUGCCUCAUCAUAUGUGGAAAUAUGACACUAUGGAUCACCUUGUCCUGGGCAGGAAUGUGAAACUAUUGAUAGCCCUUUUAUUAGCCAGAAGCGCAACUAUGGUCAGUCUUGAGCCGAAAAUAUUUAAUUUAUUUAUUAUGUUCACCUUGGAUGUCAGCUGAAUUUGGUUCGCAUCAAAAGAGUUAUAUAAAAUGAUAAUGAACUAUUUAUUUAUACGUGUUGAACAGGUUUACGAUUUUAGUUGUGUGACAUAUGUUAAUACAUUAUGACCUGUUAAGUGUAGGAUGUGAGAAUCCAAAAACUGGUAGCGAGAAUAUUAAUUUCAUAAUAAUGAUAUAUACUUUAACAUCAUUUCAAUUGUUAUUUUAUUGUGGAAUGAUUUCUACUAAGUAUCAAUUUCCUAUGUUUAGGUAAUUGGUAUGUAUGUAGGAAUUCUUAUUGAGCUGCAACUCAAAUCAUUUCUUUCUCUUUCCUUUUUGAGCCACGGGAUGCUUAGUAUUUUGCUAUGAUUUGGUAUUUCUAGUGCGAGGUGGGAUAUUUAGAUAACUUAUGCUAUCUGUAGCUGGAGAGCAUGAGUUAUAGCAAAGUGGGAAUGAUACCCCUUUGAACUUGUACUGGGAUAACUCAUGCUAUCUGUAAAUAGUGUAGUUAUGUAUCUUAUUUAUAGAAUGCUAAUUAGAUAUUAAUCUUCUUUAGCAUAGUUCAGAUUUUGUACAGCUUUCAAUGCCAUCCAUAUUCCCUAAAGCAUACUUUAUAGAAAACAAACCGCAUCACUUGCCUAGCUGGAGUGGUAGGUUUGGGGCAUAGAAAGUUUGGUGUGAGAGCUUAGAUUUAUGAUGACUAGGGUUUAACCUACGAUAAGAGUAGGUAGAUAGACAUUUCAUUUGGGGACUCAUUCUAUGCCAUAGUCGUAUAUAUGUAUGUACUAUAUCC
rnacentral:lncRNA from 1 species